rnacentral:rRNA from 1 species
UACGUAGGAAGCAAGCGUUAUCCGGAUUUACUGGGCGUAAAGUGAGCGUAGGUGGCUUUUCAAGUCGGAUGUGAAAUCUCCUGGCUUAACUGGGAGGGGUCAUCCGAUACUGUUGAGCUAGAGGACAGCAGGGGAAGGUGGAAUUCCCGGUGUAGUGGUGAAAUGCGUAGAUAUCGGGAGGAACACCAGUGGCGAAGGCGGCCUUCCAGGCUGUUUCUGACACUGAGGCUCGAAAGUGUGGGGAGCGAACAGAAUUAGAUACUCUGGUAGUCCACACCGUAAACGAUGGACACUAGGUAUAGGGAGUUUCGACCCUCUCUGUGCCGAAGCUAACGCUUUAAGUGUCCCGCCUGGGGACUACGGCCGCAAGGUUA